rnacentral:rRNA from 1 species
GGUGGUAAUGCCGGAUGCUCCAGUUGAUCGCAUGGUCUUCUGGGAAAGCCUUUGCGGCAUGGGAUGGGGUCGCGUCCUAUCAGCUUGAUGGCGGGGUAACGGCCCACCAUGGCUUCGACGGGUAGCCGGCCUGAGAGGGCGACCGGCCACAUUGGGACUGAGAUACGGCCCAGACUCCUACGGGAGGCAGCAGUGGGGAAUAUUGCACAAUGGGCGCAAGCCUGAUGCAGCGACGCCGCGUGAGGGAUGGAGGCCUUCGGGUUGUAAACCUCUUUUGUUAGGGAGCAAGGCAUUUUGUGUUGAGUGUACCUUUCGAAUAAGCACCGGCUAACUACGUGCCAGCAGCCGCGGUAAUACGUAGGGUGCAAGCGUUAUCCGGAAUUAUUGGGCGUAAAGGGCUCGUAGGCGGUUCGUCGCGUCCGGUGUGAAAGUCCAUCGCUUAACGGUGGAUCCGCGCCGGGUACGGGCGGGCUUGAGUGCGGUAGGGGAGACUGGAAUUCCCGGUGUAACGGUGGAAUGUGUAGAUAUCGGAAAAGAACA